rnacentral:tRNA from 1 species
GCCUGGGUGGUGAAACUGGUAAACACGUAACACUUAAAAUGUUAUCCCCGUAAGAGGUUGUGGGUUCGAUUCCCACCCCAGGCA